AGUGCCGGAAAAACAUGGACACCGUGCAGCAAAUCAGACUCUAAAUGCUUUUGAAAUCCUGUCAGGUUCGUAAUUUAUUCUCCCCAUCUCGUCUGGAAAGUUCACUGGAAAAAUCAACCAGCGUUUGAGAGGAUUUCAAACCAGGUCAGCCU